rnacentral:rRNA from 1 species
GAUGAACGCUGGCGGCGUGCCUAAUACAUGCAAGUCGAGCGAACGGACGAGAAGCUUGCUUUUCUGAUGUUAGCGGCGGACGGGUGAGUAACACGUGGAUAACCUACCUAUAAGACUGGGAUAACUUCGGGAAACCGGAGCUAAUACCGGAUAAUAUUUUGAACCGCAUGGUUCAAAAGUGAAAGACGGUCUUGCUGUCACUUAUAGAUGGAUCCGCGCUGCAUUAGCUAGUUGGUAAGGUAACGGCUUACCAAGGCAACGAUGCAUAGCCGACCUGAGAGGGUGAUCGGCCACACUGGAACUGAGACACGGUCCAGACUCCUACGGGAGGCAGCAGUAGGGAAUCUUCCGCAAAGGGCGAAAGCUUGACGGAGCAACGCCGCGUGAGUGAUGAAGGUCUUCGGAUCGUAAAACUCUGUUAUUAGGGAAGAACAUAUGUGUAAGUAACUGUGCACAUCUUGACGGUACCUAAUCAGAAAGCCACGGCUAACUACGUG